GAUGAACGCUGGCGGCGUGCCUAAUACAUGCAAGUCGAGCGAACAGACGAGGAGCUUGCUCCUCUGACGUUAGCGGCGGACGGGUGAGUAACACGUGGAUAACCUACCUAUAAGACUGGGAUAACUUCGGGAAACCGGAGCUAAUACCGGAUAACAUGUUGAACCGCAUGGUUCAACAGUGAAAGACGGUCUUGCUGUCACUUAUAGAUGGAUCCGCGCCGCAUUAGCUAGUUGGUAAGGUAACGGCUUACCAAGGCAACGAUGCGUAGCCGACCUGAGAGGGUGAUCGGCCAUACUGGAACUGAGACACGGUCCAGACUCCUACGGGAGGCAGCAGUAGGGAAUCUUCCGCAAUGGGCGAAAGCCUGACGGAGCAACGCCGCGUGAGUGAAGAAGGUCUUCGGAUCGUAAAACUCUGUUAUUAGGGAAGAACAAAUGUGUAAGUAACUAUGCACGUCUUGACGGUACCUAAUCAGAAAGCCACGGCUAACUACGUG
rnacentral:rRNA from 1 species